rnacentral:rRNA from 1 species
GAUGAACGCUGGCGGCGUGCCUAAUACAUGCAAGUCGAGCGAACGGACGAGAAGCUUGCUUUUCUGAUGUUAGCGGCGGACGGGUGAGUAACACGUGGAUAACCUACCUAUAAGACUGGGAUAACUUCGGGAAACCGGAGCUAAUACCGGAUAAUAUUUUGAGCCGCAUGGUUCAAAAGUGAAAGACGGUCUUGCUGUCACUUAUAGAUGGAUCCGCGCUGCAUUAGCUAGUUGGUAAGGUAACGGCUUACCAAGGCAACGAUGCAUAGCCGACCUGAGAGGGUGAUCGGCCACACUGGAACUGAGACACGGUCCAGACUCCUACGGGAGGCAGCAGUAGGGAAUCUUCCGCAAUGGGCGAAAGCCUGACGGAGCAACGCCGCGUGAGUGAUGAAGGUCUUCGGAUCGUAAAACUCUGUUAUUAGGGAAGAACAUAUGUGUAAGUAACUGUGCACAUCUUGACGGUACCUAAUCAGAAAGCCACGGCUAACUACGUG